AGAGUUUGAUCCUGGCUCAGGAUGAACGCUGGCGGCGUGCUUAACACAUGCAAGUCGAACGAGAGAGGAUCGGUGCUUGCACUGAUCCAAUCGAGUGGCGGACGGGUGAGUAACGCGUGGGUAACCUGCCUCAUACAGGGGAAUAACAGUUGGAAACGGCUGCUAAAACCGCAUAAGCGCACAGUAUCGCAUGAUACAGUGUGAAAAACUCCGGUGGUAUGAGAUGGACCCGCGUCUGAUUAGCUAGUUGGUGAGGUAACGGCCACCAAGGCAACGAUCGAGUAGCCGGCCUGAGAGGGUGAACGGCCACAUUGGGACUGAGACACGGGCCCAAACUCCUACGGGAGGCA
rnacentral:rRNA from 1 species